UACAGGGGGUGCAAACGUUGCUCGGAAUUAUUGGGCGUAAAGCGCGCGUAGGCGGCCACUUAAGUCGGAUGUGAAAGCCCCUGGCUCAACUGGGGAAGUGCACCCGAAACUGAGCGGCUUGAAUGCAAAAGAGGGUCGCGGAAUUCCCGGUGUAGAGGUGAAAUUCGUAGAUAUCGGGAGGAACACCGGUGGCGAAGGCGGCGACCUGGGUUGACAUUGACGCUGAGGUGCGAAAGCGUGGGGAGCAAACAGG
rnacentral:rRNA from 1 species